UACGUAGGGACCGAGCGUUGUCCGGAAUCAUUGGGCGUAAAGAGCGUGUAGGCGGCUUGCUAAGUCUUGCGUGAAAUCUCGGGGCUCAACCCCGAGCGGUCGUGGGAAACUGGCAGGCUAGAGUGCGGGAGAGGAGAAUGGAAUUCCUGGUGUAGCGGUGAAAUGCGCAGAUAUCAGGAAGAACACCUAUGGCGAAGGCAGCUCUCUGGGACGGUACUGACGCUGAGACGCGAAAGCGUGGGGAGCGAACAGG
rnacentral:rRNA from 1 species